UUCAGUCACCCUUUGGAAGAAGAAGGAUGUCUUUUAGGGCUUUGGAGUUGAGUAGGCUGCAGUUACUCCUUGGGAGGAGAGAGUUGGGCUGUUAAACCCAGGGAGGGAGCCAAAAGAUGUAGGAAGGAGUCCAGGGAAAGAACAACAGUGUCUGGGAGAAAACAGACCACAGUUGAUAGACACAGAGUCCCUGGGAUGGAACCUGGAAUACAGAGCAGGCCUGGGUCCUACCAACCACUGGGCGAGUGGCACAGACUGGACAGUGGAGCAGAAGACUACCUGGAACAGUUGUCCAAUAGGACUUUGCUACCCUGGAAGGGAAGGACUAGAGUGACCUGGCUGGAGGGCCAAGCCAUGAAGAAAAGAGAAUACCUUGAGUCACCGAGAGAGAUGGCAAAAGGGGGUGUCAGCUCUUGAAGGAGUCUUCCCCAGAGCAGCCAGGAGGAGGCACCGUGAUGGUACUUGUUCAUGAGGGGAUUGGAAUUAGAAGUGGAUUAGAGGAAGACCUCUCUUAAAGAAGGUGGUGCUGCUGUAUCAGAGGCUGGGCCAUCUGUCAGCAGGAAUGCAACUAGCUGGCACCAGCAGCUGAAAGCAUCUGACUAACUGCACACAGACGCAGACAGUAGAAGACAAAGGAAACUGCAGAGAGCAGCGGUGCUGAGAGAGGAUGCCUCAUCAUCAGCAUCAGCAGCUAAUCUGGCUCUACUGAUUCAUCUGCAAUGCAGAUCCUAUCAAUUUUCCUGCUGUGACAGCAGCCGGCUAGAUGCUGAUUAAGGGGAUUCUGGGGAGCUUGGAGGGGAGGAUAAACCAAGAGAAGGAAUCAGCAGCAAGAGGAAAGAGUAGGAUUAGAGAAAGCGGGACUGUGAGAGGCAGUAUAAUGGCUACAGUGUGCCUGACGAUAAACCAUACAGUGUUCUAUGAAGACAUUAGGAAGUUGUGUUAGUUUCUGCUAAUCCAUCACCUGUCAAGGGUCUGUUUCACUAGCCAUAAGAUUAAAGAAAGCAGCAUUGUCUAUUGUCUUCAAUACUGGUCACUCUGGAGCUGUUCCCACAUUGCAGCCUUGAUGCUAAUCCCAGUUUAGUGGGGGGCUGUCGAGGCAAACAUUCCUUAUAACUGCUGCAAUUUUGUAAAAUCAUUUUGGGAUAGACUCUCUGCUGAGUUAUCCUCCCUAUCAUGUUGCUCCAUGUCUCUGUGAGCAGGUCUAAUCUUUUUCCCAUCAGUGACAGGGCUCCAAGGGCAUGCAUGCACACAUGCACCCCCCACCGC